CCCAGGGAGACCCCAUGCUCCACCCCUGAAAACCACCCCCAGACCCCCUGCUCCACCCUCCGGACCCCAGGGAGACCCCAUGCUCCAUCCCUGAAAACCACCCCCAGGGAGACCCCCUGCUCCACCCUCCGGACCCCAGGGAGACCCCGUGCUCCAUCCCUGAAAACCACCCCCAGACCCCCUGGUCCACCCUCCGGACCCCAGGGAGACCCCAUGCUCCACCCCUGAAAACCACCCCCAGGGAGACCCCAUGCUCCACCCUCCGGACCCCAGGGAGACCCCGUGCUCCACCCCUGAAAACCACCCCCAGACCCCCUGCUCCACCCUCCGGACCCCAGGGAGACCCCAUGCUCCACCCCUGAAAACCACCCCCAGGGAGACCCCCUGCUCCACCCUCCGGACCCCAGGGAGACCCCAUGCUCCACCCCUGAAAACCACCCCCAGGGAGACCCCCUGCUCCACCCUCCGGACCCCAGAGAGACCCCAUGCUCCACCCCUGAAAACCACCCCCAGACCCCCCGCUCCUCCCACUCGGGAUCACCCCGAGACCCGCUCACCACCAUCAGUCAGGCCGGGUAGCGGGGAGAGGCCUCUCAGGAGGGACCAGACCACUCUCCCAGGUGUGAAGGGAGGAGGACAGUCACGAGCAGACCAGAAAUAACCAGGGACUGACACAGACACGACAGCACGAUCGCAGAGUGACGGAAAAGGGCUAAGGGCAGGAAAAGUCCCCGAGGCCUUCUCCACCCCGAGCGCGGGGUAGGGAGCAGCCGGAGAGUGACGGAGGGUGACGGAGAGUGACGAAAGUAGACGAUGCCCGACGGAGAAGAGCCGAGCGGAGCUGAAGGGCGGCGGAGAGCGACGGAAAGUGACGAGAAUUGACGGAAAGUGACGGGGACUGACGGAUAGUGACGAAGAGUCACGAAAUUUAUCGGAGACCGACAAAGAGGAAAGCAAAAUGACGACUACGACCUGCAGACGGGCAGCAUCGGUGGGCACCCCCAGCCUCCUUCCUCACGGCCCCAGCCCGCCAUCAACACCGCCAUCCACUCACCCCCAAGAGGGCUGCUGAGAGAGGGCAGGAGCCCAGCCAGACCAGCAGGGCCGGGGCCGCCCCGCCACAACUGAUCCUGAUGAGGCACGAACCGGAGGCUCCUGUACCGGCUGCAUCCGGAGCAGGGCGUGCUGGAUGGCAUGUGCGUGGACACUGUGGGGAAGCUCUGGGUGGCCUGCGUCGAUGGAGGCAAGGUGAUACACCUGGACCCCGAGACAGGUGUGUGCAGGGUGGCGGGGCCGUCUGAGGUUUGGCCACAUCGGGUGUCCACUGUGUCUGCAGCUUCAGAAGUCGGGGCCGGGCAGCAAUCGUGAAUUUGUAGAGACUAAGGUGCCUCCGUUUCCCGAUGGCAUGGACUCCCAGGUUCCCUCUGCAGGUGUGCUAGGAUCCUGGGGCUGCCGCAACCAAGGACCACACACUGGCUGCCUAAACAACAGGAAGUCACCUCCCCCAGUCCUGCAGAGCAGGAGUCUGAGACCGAGGAGUCUCAGGGCUGUGCUGCCUCCAGGAAUUCUAGGGGAGGAUCCUUCCUGCCUCUCCCAGCUCCUGGGGGCUCCAGACAUCCCUGGGCUUGAGGCCACAUCACUCUGGUCUCUGCCUCCAUCUCCAUGUGGCCUCCUCCUCUGUGUCUGUGUCUCCUCUUCUGUCUCUCAGAAGGACACCUGUCAUUGCAUUUAGGACCCACCGUACUCCGGGAUGAUCUCAUCUCCAGAUCCUUCACUAAUUACAUGUGCAAAGUUCUUUAUUUCCAAAUAAGGUCUUGUUCACAAGUUUUGGGGAUCUGGAUUUGAAUAUAACUUUCUGGUGAACCACAGUCCUGUCCGCUACAGGUGUAUCCAGUUCCCUCCAGAGGCUCUAGGGGAGGAUCCUUCCUGCCGCUCCCAGCUCGUGGGGUCUCCAGGCAUCCCUGGGCUUGUGGCCGCAUCGCUCCAGUCUCUGACUCUGUCUCCACAUGACCUUCUCCUCUGGGUCUGUGUCUCCUCUUCUGUCUCUAGAAGGACACCUGUCACUGCAUGUAGGACCCACCCUACUCCAGGAUGAUCUCAUCUCCAGAUCCUUAACUAAUUAGAUCUUGAAACACCCUAUUUCUAUACAAGGUCUCAUUCCUAGGU